rnacentral:rRNA from 1 species
GACGAACGCUGGCGGCGUGCUUAACACAUGCAAGUCGAACGGAAAGGCCCUGCUUUUGUGGGGUGCUCGAGUGGCGAACGGGUGAGUAACACGUGAGUAACCUGCCCUUGACUUUGGGAUAACUUCAGGAAACUGGGGCUAAUACCGGAUAGGAGCUCCUGCUGCAUGGUGGGGGUUGGAAAGUUUCGGCGGUUGGGGAUGGACUCGCGGCUUAUCAGCUUGUUGGUGGGGUAGUGGCUUACCAAGGCUUUGACGGGUAGCCGGCCUGAGAGGGUGACCGGCCGCAUUGGGACUGAGAUACGGCCCAGACUCCUACGGGAGGCAGCAGUGGGGAAUAUUGCACAAUGGGCGGAAGCCUGAUGCAGCAACGCCGCGUGCGGGAUGACGGCCUUCGGGUUGUUAGCCGCUUUCGCCUGUGACGAAGCGUGAGUGACGGUAAUGGGUAAAGAAGCACCGGCUAACUACGUG